rnacentral:rRNA from 1 species
UCGAACGGAAAGGCCCUGCUUGCAGGGUACUCGAGUGGCGAACGGGUGAGUAACACGUGGGUGAUCUGCCCUGCACUUCGGGAUAAGCUUGGGAAACUGGGUCUAAUACCGGAUAGGAACCAUCUUUAGUGUGGUGGUUGGAAAGUUUUUUCGGUGUAGGAUGAGCUCGCGGCCUAUCAGCUUGUUGGUGGGGUAAUGGCCUACCAAGGCGGCGACGGGUAGCCGGCCUGAGAGGGUGUACGGCCACAUUGGGACUGAGAUACGGCCCAGACUCCUACGGGAGGCAGCAGUGGGGAAUAUUGCACAAUGGGCGCAAGCCUGAUGCAGCGACGCCGCGUGGGGGAUGAAGGCCUUCGGGUUGUAAACUCCUUUCGCUAGGGACGAAGCUUUUUGUGACGGUACCUAGAUAAGAAGCACCGGCUAACUACGUGCCAGCAGCCGCGGUAAUACGUAGGGUGCGAGCGUUGUCCGGAAUUACUGGGCGUAAAGGGCUCGUAGGUGGUUUGUCGCGUCGUCUGUGAAAUUCUGGGGCUUAACUCCGGGCGUGCAGGCGAUACGGGCAUAACUUGAGUGCUGUAGGGGUAACUGGAAUUCCUGGUGUAGCGGUGAAAUGCGCAGAUAUCAGGAGGAACACCGAUGGCGAAGGCAGGUUA